GAUGAACGCUGGCGGCGUGCCUAAUACAUGCAAGUCGAGCGAACAGACGAGGAGCUUGCUCCUCUGACGUUAGCGGCGGACGGGUGAGUAACACGUGGAUAACCUACCUAUAAGACUGGGAUAACUUCGGGAAACCGGAGCUAAUACCGGAUAAUAUAUUGAACCGCAUGGUUCAACAGUGAAAGACGGUUUUGCUGUCACUUAUAGAUGGAUCCGCGCCGCAUUAGCUAGUUGGUAAGGUAACGGCUUACCAAGGCAACGAUGCGUAGCCGACCUGAGAGGGUGAUCGGCCACACUGGAACUGAGACACGGUCCAGACUCCUACGGGAGGCAGCAGUAGGGAAUCUUCCGCAAUGGGCGAAAGCCUGACGGAGCAACGCCGCGUGAGGGAUGAAGGUCUUCGGAUCGUAAAACUCGGUUAUUAGGGAAGAACAAAUGUGUAAGUAACUAUGCACGUCUUGACGGUACCUAAUCAGAAAGCCACGGCUAACUACGUGC
rnacentral:rRNA from 1 species